UACGGAGGGGGCAAGCGUUGUUCGGAAUUACUGAGCGUAAAGGGCGCGCAGGCGGCUGCUCAAGUCAGGCGUGAAAGGCCUGGGCUCAACCCGGGAAUUGCGCUUGAGACUGGGCUGGCUUGAGUGCGGGAGAGGAUGGUGGAAUUCCCAGUGUAGAGGUGAGAUUCGUAGAUAUUGGGAAGAACACCGGUGGCGAAGGCGGCCAUCUGGACCGCAACUGACGCUGAGGCGCGAAAGCGUGGGGAGCAAACAGG
rnacentral:rRNA from 1 species